rnacentral:lncRNA from 1 species
UCCGGUAGUCCACCACGGGGUAGACCAAGGUGGUAGAUUGUGUGGAGAGGAUCGCCGCACCUAGAGCUAGAUCGAUGAACACAAGAACACAGGGGACUUUACCAAGUUCGGGCCACCAGAUUGGUGUAAUACCCUACAUCCUGUGCUCAGAGUUGUAUUCUCAGCGUAUAGUGUAUUGAAUAUGGCUUGGAUUUUUAAGGGGGGUUCCCUGCCGUCCUUAUAUAGUUUGGGGGGUAAGGUUACAGAUCCGAUUCGAUCUAAACCUAGCCGAUUGCAUGGAAAUCUACUACCUUUCCGUACAAUUUAUCUCUUUACAUAUUUAAACAUGCAUAUCCGUAAGUAUAUCUCUUGAUGCCGAUCCUUCAUCUUGAUCCAUACGCCUAUCCUAAGUCCCCCUCGCAUGGGCCGUGGCACCCCCUUUGGAGGGUGGCUAGGCCCAUCUGAGUGGUACCCUGGAAUUAU